GCCCCCGUAGCUCAGUGGAUAGAGCGCCGGCCUCCGGAGCCGGAAGCGGGAGUUCGACUCUCCCCGGGGGUACCA
rnacentral:tRNA from 1 species